GACGAACGCUGGCGGCGUGCUUAACACAUGCAAGUCGAACGGAAAGGCCCUGCUUUUGUGGGGUGCUCGAGUGGCGAACGGGUGAGUAACACGUGAGUAACCUGCCCUUGACUUUGGGAUAACUUCAGGAAACUGGGGCUAAUACCGGAUAGGAGCUCCUGCUGCAUGGUGGGGGUUGGAAAGUUUCGGCGGUUGGGGAUGGACUCGCGGCUUAUCAGCUUGUUGGUGGGGUAGUGGCUUACCAAGGCUUUGACGGGUAGCCGGCCUGAGAGGGUGACCGGCCACAUUGGGACUGAGAUACGGCCCAGACUCCUACGGGAGGCAGCAGUGGGGAAUAUUGCACAAUGGGCUGAAGCCUGAUGCAGCAACGCCGCGUGCGGGAUGACGGCCUUCGGGUUGUAAACCGCUGUCGCCUGUGACGAAGCGUGAGUGACGGUAAUGGGUAAAGAAGCACCGGCUAACUACGUG
rnacentral:rRNA from 1 species